AACGCUAGCUACAGGCUUAACACAUGCAAGUCGCGGGGUAACGAGAGGGAAGCUUGCUUUCCUUGUCGACGACCGGCGCACGGGUGAGUAACGCGUAUCCAACCUGCCCAUUACCACGGGAUACCCCGUCGAAAGGCGGCCUAAUACCGUAUGCAGUCGUCAGAUGACAUCAGAGGACGACGAAAGGAUUGGCGGUAAUGGAUGGGGAUGCGUCUGAUUAGGUAGUUGGAGGGGUAACGGCCCACCAAGCCAUCGAUCAGUAGGGGUUCUGAGAGGAAGGUCCCCCACAUUGGAACUGAGACACGGUCCAAACUCCUACGGGAGGCAGCAGUGAGGAAUAUUGGUCAAUGGGCGCGAGCCUGAACCAGCCAAGUAGCGUGAGGGAUGACGGCCCUAUGGGUUGUAAACUGCUUUUAUACAGGAAUAAAGUUAGCCACGUGUGGUUAUUUGUAGGUACUGUAUGAAUAAGGACCGGCUAAUUCCGUGCCAGCAGCCGCGGUAAUACGGAAGGUCCAGGCGUUAUCCGGAUUUAUUGGGUUUAAAGGGAGCGUAGGCCGUCUGUUAAGCGUGUUGUGAAAUGUAGAUGCUCAACAUCUGAAUUGCAGCGCGAACUGGCAGACUUGAGUGUGCGCAACGUAGGCGGAAUUCGUGGUGUAGCGGUGAAAUGCUUAGAUAUCACGAAGAACUCCGAUUG
rnacentral:rRNA from 1 species